UACUUUCCAGAAAAUGUAAAAUUCCAAAUUUUGAGUUACAGAGCUAAUAUCUAAAAUCAUCAAUCAUCACCAUGAACCAGAAGAUGAAAAUUAACAAGAAGAAGAAUAAAAAGAAUGAAAUGGAGUUUUGCGAAGUAUGCAAUUUGAAUGACGAUGAAGGCCAAAACCAUAAGUACUUUCCAAACCACAAAAAUUCACUCUCUAAUUUCUUCUCUCGUUUCCAAACCAAAAUCGCCGCCGUCCGAUUCUUUCUCAAAAGCCCUACCAUUCUCCAACCUGGACUCUCCUCUCGCAACCGCAUCUGGUGCGUCUUCUGCGAUUUCGAUAUCCACGAGAUCGGCAGCUCCUUCGUAUGCGCCAACGCGAUAAGUCACCUGGCGAGUGAGGAACAUUUGAAGAAAUUGAAGCGCUUUAUGUGGAAAUACGGUGGUGGAAUGGGCUGGGUGCCUGGGUGGGAUACUUUUCGGGUUUUAGAAGCUCAUGUGCUGAAUCGUUGUUCAAUGUGGGACAAGUAGUGUGAAGCAUUGAGGAAUGAAAGGGCAGCGUUGGGCAGCGUUGGAUCAAGAGGGAUGCAAGUUGGACCUACAAAAAAAUGGAGUAUCAGAUAUGCAAUUCAGGAUUUUCUGCAGUUGCGAAUGUUGGACCAUCCAUGUAUUGUGUGGUCUCUACUUUGCCUGUGCAUGCACAUUCUGGUACAUGCAAUCCUAAUGAUUUAACCGCUAACUGGAAUAGCCAGCAUUCUUUCCCAUAACAGUAUAAACUGUGCACCCAAUGUCGGUAAUGGACAGCUGUGCCAGGUUUAUCAGGGUGAAAGAUCCGUACAUGGAGUGAGCAGUUUACGGGGUUCCCACAAUAUACCUCAAGUUCCUGCUAUGGCUCUACAAUUGGCUGGAGUCACUCUAGCACCUGCCUUGACUCCACAAAUGGCUGGAGGAAAUGUGCAUACAGGAGCUUCUCCUUGGUUUGAAGCAACUGAAGAAAAUCAGCUAAACAUUCAAGUGAAAUGGACUGCUUGGGCAGAAGGGAGAAAGAUGGAGAUGACAGGUUGUCAAGAGCGAUUGUGAUGCUAACUGGCUCCCCAAUUUUGGCAGCAUGACGGCCAAAAGGAAUCUAGAAAAGAAUUUGAGAAUGAGAAACAAAAAUUACCCAGUGUGGAGAGUCAUACUGAGAUGCCAGUUAGGAUAUAGCCUUAUAUCAGCAAACAAAUGGUAAUCUCUAAGCUCAAUGUCCUUGUGUAUCCUGCAGUUCUUGUUAUGUCCCAUCUUUUCCAUUUUCAGGCUUGGCUCUUUUUGUGAGGUGAUUGAAAUAUACAUUUUAUGUUUUAAACAUCAUUACAAUACAUUGUUUUCUUCUUACUUGAUUGUCCAUGUUAGUAGAUAGUGACGCCUCAUCACAUAUAAAUUUGACUAAAGUACUUGUGAAUUCUUAGAUGCAUUCUAUUAUGAAUUGCUGUAAAAGGACACCAGUCUACUUCAGCGUAAUGUGGUAAAAGAAAGUUGGAACUAAGCAUUUGCAGGUGAUCAUAGCACAGUUCACCUUUAUAGGUAGAAGUCUUGGCUAGUUUUAGGUGAUAUGCUGUGUAAAAAACUCUUUGCUUCUUAGGCUGAUGACAUUGUAUUCAAGUCUGGCAUAUAUUUCAUUGAUUUGUGGAACUUUA